rnacentral:rRNA from 1 species
AGAGUUUGAUCCUGGUCCAGGAGGAACGCUGGCGGCGUGCCUAAUACAUGCAAGUCGAGCGAAGAGAUUGAGAGCUUGCUCUCAAGAAGUUAGCGGCGGACGGGUGAGUAACACGUGGGUAACCUGCCCAUAAGACUGGGAUAACUCCGGGAAACCGGGGCUAAUACCGGAUAAUAUUUUGAACUGCAUGGUUCAAAAUUGAAAGGCGGCUUCGGCUGUCACUUAUGGAUGGACCCGCGUCGCAUUAGCUAGUUGGUGAGGUAACGGCUCACCAAGGCAACGAUGCGUAGCCGACCUGAGAGGGUGAUCGGCCACACUGGGACUGAGACACGGCCCAGACUCCUACGGGAGGCAGCAGUAGGGAAUCUUCCGCAAUGGACGAAAGUCUGACGGAGCAACGCCGCGUGAGUGAUGAAGGCUUUCGGGUCGUAAAACUCUGUUGUUAGGGAAGAACAAGUGCUAGUUGAAUAAGCUGGCACCUUGACGGUACCUAACCAGAAAGCCACGGCUAACUACGUGCCAGCAGCCGCGGUAAUACGUAGGUGGCAAGCGUUAUCCGGAAUUAUUGGGCGUAAAGCGCGCGCAGGUGGUUUCUUAAGUCUGAUGUGAAAGCCCACGGCUCAACCGUGGAGGGUCAUUGGAAACUGGGAGACUUGAGUGCAGAAGAGGAAAGUGGA